CAAAGAUAUUCAGAAAAUACCUGAAGAGAAAUACAGCCGCCGCUGAGCCGCUUAGAAUAUCAAAAAAGUGCCAAACGCAAAUAAGCGGUAAGCCAUACAUUCUUGUUCGUGUUUUUUUUUGUUAAGCAGAAAAUUGUGAUACGGUAGAAUCAACAUUUUUUUUCUUCUCUCUUUUCCUUUUGUUUUCCGUUUUUGCAAGUGCAGAUUGGCACUUAGUACUUAGUGCAAAUCUUUUACAUUGAAGCUACAAGUUCAUUCACCCUUGAACCAAAGCCGUGCAUUAAAGGCAAUAAAAUCACUCAAUUCGCCGAGUAGAAAAGCAACAAACAAAAACAGCUGUUUUGUCUACGGCAGUGCCGAAUAAUUAAUAAUUGAUUCCGCUCCCAGCGGUCGGGAAUUCGCCGCUAUUAGGCGCACCUAAAGCCAAGAGAAGCCGCUGCAAUUGGACGAGAAGUAGUUUAAUUCGCACCUCCGAAGCCACCGUCUAGACGGGGAAGCCUCGAUUUUCUAAUCGGGAAAUGUCGGUUAAAUAACCGUUCGUUAAACUUUUGUAUACAUAUCUCUGGCUUUUUUUGUCCCACCCUAGCCUAAGUGUAAAAUAAGUUUGGUAGUGUUAAGUGAAACAUGAAAUAUUAAGUGAUUACGGAGGAAUGUAAAAGUCACAUAAAAGUGGUUAAAAAUUGUAAUAUUGUGUGGAGCAUUAGAAAACGCCGUUAAUUGGUGCAAUCGACGUUCCUCUUCCCUUUUUGUUCUUCGUGCAUGUCUUUCUCUUCUAAUAUGGUCUGGUAUUCACCACAGUGGCGUUGAGAGCCGAAAAUAUGCGAGCAUUGAAGAGAGAGAAGACGAAGAUUGCGAGAGCGAAGAAAAAAAAUAUUAGCUCUUCUACUUAGAUUUUGUGUUUGUGCUUUCUUUCUCGAAAAAAGCGCUUUUGGAGAUGGAAGGUUCCGAGAUAUGCACGUAAGUGGAAAGCAAAUUACUUUUAUUGCAUGUCACAAAGAUUAUAAGAGAGGGAAUGGGGAAGGAGAGUGAGCGCACUAAUAUAGUUUUAACCAUUUUUUUCGACAUAUACUUAUGUGAAUUUAAAUUUUAUUACUUUCAAACCAUUUAUUAUUUUCUUUAUUUAUACAUAUAUUAUUUUUACCUAUUUUCUGUUUUUUCCUAAACCUUUUUUUUUGUGAUAACCUUGAAGUACGCUUAAAUUCCCUUUUAUUUACGUUUUUUUUGCUAUGAGCAUUCUGUUAUAAUAAAUAAGUUUUCAUUUGAAUUUCAAUAUGUUCUAGUUGUUCGGAUUGGGGGUGUCAUGUCUCGACGUAGUAUGGAAGUAGGGUAGAGUGUUAGUUCGUUCAAGGGAUCAUCGGCCUCUCUUUAGGUCUUGCGGCUAAGAUGAUCAUGGUAGGAUGGGCAAUCAGCUGUCGUAGCAACACCAGUGCAGCUGGAACAGCUAAAACCAACUCGGCUUUUGCAACAACAUCUUGCAGUGUCAUAACUAGUCAAUUUUAUGUGUUUUCCUAUCCUUUCUGUCUGUCCGAUCGAACCUGUAUUUGGCCUAAACCAGCACGCGAAUUUUAAUGUAAUUAUGUAUAUACAAAGCGAGCAGGUAGCACAGUGGUCUUUUUUAACCCCCUCCCAGCCGACGACAGCAGAGCCGGAACAAGCGCGUGCUCCUCUGGUCGCUACAAUACCAUCAGCUCGUGGUGUCAACAUAUACCCACCUACGUUAUAUGUUACAAGUCAAGUGAAAUGUACAUAUUUAUUUUAUUUCUUAAUAUUUAAUUUAUUGUGUAAUUUAUUUAAAUAUUCGUUAUGCUUUAUUAAAACAUGCAUAUUGAAGUCAAAUCUCAGCCAAAACUUUAUUGCGCCGGGACAUAAGUAACAUUGGUAAAAUUAUGAUUUUGAUUUUUGAUAACUGAAGUUGUGAAUAUUUAAUUCGUGAUGUUUCAGUCCAUUGCGGGACCUAAAACUUAUUUUCAUAUAACACAACUCGCAAUGAAAUUCAUUAAUUUCGAAUAGCAAAUGAACUAAAGUAUCUUAAGAGUUAGAUGUUCUAAUAUAGGGUUUCGAGUUAUGUAUGAGCAUAUGUUAAAUGUAAAAAACCUAGCAUACGGUCCAUUUUUAUAUAUAAUGUUUUCAUUUGAAUGGUUUAUGUACAUACCAAUACAUGUAUGUAUGUAUGUAUGUAUAUAAAGACAGAAAAUAUAAUAUUUGAAAUCCUUUUCUCACAUCUGGCUUUUACAUGAUUACAACUAUAUACCUAACGCAACAACCAAUCAGCAUAGAUCUCAUUUUAGAAGUAAAGACGAUUUAGAGUAUAAAAGAUCUUGUAAUUAUGAUUAAAUAAUUUAGUAUAAAACAUUGUGUAGUUUGAAUUUUUUCAAUUUUAUAAUGGUAUGUAAGCAUUGUUUUUUUUUUUGAUAUAUAAAUGGAUAAACAAAACUUCAUUAAACAUGUACAUGCAUAGGCGUUCCUAGAAACACUUAACGAGAUAAAACCGGCGAUUGGAUACACCAAGGUUGAAGAUCUAUGUAUAGGAUUUGCCUAAAAGAUCAAUGGAUGUAAACUUAAAAAAAACAUAAUUUGGAACAAAGGUUAUGGAUAUUUUUACCUAAAUGUUAUGUAACCAAAUUUUCCACAAAAGCACCCUUUAACGGAGC
rnacentral:lncRNA from 1 species